AAGCAGUUUCGUGACCUUUGUUGAGGAAAUGUGCGUUAACUGUUAGCACUUGGUUGUUUAUAAUUCGACAAGUAAUUUUCAAUGUCUCAUUUAUGGCAAUGACUAAGACAACAAGCAAUGCAUUAUCACUAUCUUCACUACCUACUAGUGAAGGAAAAUCGACUCUGGUUAACAUCCUCAGGACUAAGAUUGAUUCAGUUUCGGACAACCUUCAACACCUUCAGUCCUUCGUUCUUUGCUUCCCUUCCAAAUCUUUAUUUUGGUGGUGCUCGGUAAAAAAAGGCGGACGAAUCCAGAGACAAGAAUUACCUGAAGAAUACAAAUAGUAAUUACUGGAAUCAUAAAAAAAUCGUUAGUAAACGCAACUGAAGGAAGCAUUAUAAUAGAGUCCGUCCAAAAUUUGUCUAAUCAUCCCCACCAAAAUGUGAUGGCGUCGUGGAUUUAAAUUGUAUGAAAUAACAUGUACUUUAUGACUCCGUGUUGAGUUUUUACCCGAAACGUCCAGAUUUUUGGGAAAAAAAUCAAAAUUAUAAAAUAACAUUUGCAACUUAAUUUUGAAUCUGCAAAAUCGAAUGCUUUGAAAUCUUACAGAUAUUUUAAAGUUAUGUUGGGUAUGAUAAAAAAAAAGUCGAAUAAAUCCCGUACUUGUGGCUUAUCAUUCCAUUCAUAUUUUUUGGAUUUGCUCAAACAGGGUGACUCAAAAAAAAUUAAUAAACGCGUGAUUUUAUUUUAUUGAUUUAAUCAGGAACUACAAAAUCCAAUGCUUUGAAAUCUUGGAGUUGUUUUAAAACUAUCAUAAGCAUGGUAAAUUUUUUAAUAUUUUUUAGGUUUGCUUA